GUGAAAAUGUCCACCGAAUUAUCAGUUGGCACGGUAACUGCAAUUUUGAACUUCCUUGGCAAGAACUGAGUUCCAUAAAUGGGUUCAGGUGAGUCAGGGAAGUUUGUUCCAUGGGAGUUAUCAUUUCGAGCUUUCACAACUUCAAGAGGUUCUGCUGUCAUAACUUUCUCCCCAUCCACCCAAACGUCAUAGUAAAAUCCAGACUAUUAUCAUUUCGAGCUUUCACAACUUCAGGAGGUUCUGCGGUCAUAACUUUCUCCCCAUCCACCCAAACGUCAUAGUAAAAUCCAGACUGGGGAGUUAAAAGUGCUGCAAUGUUAUCAGCUGUUUGUUUAGCAAACAUAUAAUCUUUUUUAGUAAAUGGGGCAGCUGGAGCAAGAACGUUCCUAUUGAGGUCA
rnacentral:lncRNA from 1 species